rnacentral:lncRNA from 1 species
GCCUGCUGCUGGCCCUGCCUCGCCCCGGGCGGCGCCACCGUCACCGCGAACAGCGAGGUGGGGCCGCUGCUCUUCCCCGCGGCCUCCUUGGCGGCCCCGCGCUGCUGUUGGGGCUGUUGCUGCUGCGUCGCCGGCGGUUGAGGCUGCUGCUCCCCGUGCCCGUUCUCGUCGCCCGCGCCUUCCUCUUCGUCCCCGAGCUCAUCUUCCCCUUCCUGGAAACCCUGAUCGUCGCCGUUCUCGUCUUCCGAGGCGGCCUCCUCCUCCUCCAUCGGGCCCGAGUCGGCCGCCCCCGCGGCCCCGUUCUCCUCUCCUAGCUCCAUCUGGUCGCCGUCCAGAGCGGAGAUUCCUUCCUCCUCCUCUUCCUCUUCCUCCUCCUCUUCAUCGCCGCCGGCCGCGGCCUCCUGCUCGAGGCCUGCUCCCGAGCGCCCAGCG